ACUCAAAGGAAUUGACGGGGGCCCGCACAAGCGGUGGAGCAUGUGGUUUAAUUCGACGCAACGCGCAGAACCUUACCAGCCCUUGACAUGGGACGUUUGGGCCUGAGAGAUCGGGUCCUUCAGUUCGGCUGGCGUCCACACAGGUGCUGCAUGGCUGUCGUCAGCUCGUGUCGUGAGAUGUUGGGUUAAGUCCCGCAACGAGCGCAACCCUCAUCCUUAGUUGCCAUCAGGUAGGGCUGGGCACUCUAGGGAAACUGCCGGUGACAAGCCGGAGGAAGGCGGGGAUGACGUCAAGUCCUCAUGGCCCUUACGGGCUGGGCUACACACGUGCUACAAUGGCGGUGACAGUAGGAAGCAAUGGGGCGACCCGGAGCCAAUCCACUAAAAGCCGUCUCAGUUCGGAUUGUUCUCUGCAACUCGAGAGCAUGAAGCUGGAAUCGCUAGUAAUCGCGGAUCAGCACGCCGCGGUGAAUACGUUCCCGGGCCUUGUACACACCGCCCGU
rnacentral:rRNA from 1 species